UUCCGGUUGAUCCUGCCGGACCCCACUGCUAUCGGGAUGGGACUAAGACAUGCUAGUCGAGCGUCUCCAAGCUAUGGAAGAGACGCGGCACACAGCUCAGUAACACGUGGCUAACCUGCCCUUGGGACAAGGACAACUCCGGGAAACUGGGGCUAAUCCCUGAUAGGUGAGAACUCCUGGAAUGGAUUCUCGCUGAAAGGACGUUUAGACCAUGCUUCUAGGCGUCGCCCAAGGAGGGGGCCGCGACCGAUCAGGUUGUUGGUGAGGUAACGGCUCACCAAGCCUUUAACCGGUACGGGCCGUGAGAGCGGAAGCCCGGAGAUGGGCACUGAGACAAGGGCCCAGGCCCUACGGGGCGCAGCAGUCGCGAAAACUCCGCAAUACACGAAAGUGUGACGGGGCUAUCCCGAGUGCCAUCCGCUGAGGAUGGCUUUUCCCCAGUGUAUAAAGCUGGGGGAAUAAGGAGAGGGCAAGCCUGGUGUCAGCCGCCGCGGUAAUACCAGCUCUCCGAGUGGUGGGGAUGUUUAUUGGGCCUAAAGCAUUCGUAGCCUGCUUGGCAAGUCCUCCGUUAAAUCCAACGAUUCAAUCGUUGGGCUGCGGGGGAUACUGUCCAGCUAGGGGGCGGGAGAGGCCGACGGUAUCCCCGGGGUAGGGGUGAAAUCCUAUAAUCCCGGGAGGACCACCAGUGGCGAAGGCUGUCGGCUAGAACGUGCUCGACGGUGAGGGAUGAAAGCUGGGGGAGCGAACCGGAUUAGAUACCCGGGUAGUCCCAGCUGUAAACGAUGCAGCUAGGUGUUGGCGCGGCUACGUGCCGCUCCAGUGCGCAGGAAGCCGUUAAGCCUGCCGCCUGGGAAGUACGGGCGCAAGGCUGAAACUUAAAGGAAUUGGCGGGGGAGCACACAAGUGUGAAGCUGCGGUUUAAUUGGACUCACGCCGAAAUCGUCGAACGGCGGCG
rnacentral:rRNA from 1 species